rnacentral:rRNA from 1 species
CAGAGGGUGCAAGCGUUGUUCGGAAUUAUUGGGCGUAAAGGGCGCGUAGGCGGUGCGGUAAGUCUGCGGUGAAAUCUCCCGGCUCAACUGGGAGGCUGCCGUGGAAACUGCCGUGCUUGAGUGUGGGAGAGGUGAGUGGAAUUCCCGGUGUAGCGGUGAAAUGCGUAGAUAUCGGAAGGAACACCUGUGGCGAAAGCGGCUCACUGGACCACAACUGACGCUGAGGCGCGAAAGCUAGGGGAGCAAACAGGAUUAGAUACCCUGGUAGUCCUAGCCCUAAACUAUGAUUGCUUGGUGUAGCAGGUACCCAAUCCUGCUGUGCCGAAGCUAACGCGAUAAGCAAUCCGCCUGGGGAGUACGGUCGCAAGGCUG